GAUGAACGCUGGCGGCGUGCCUAACACAUGCAAGUCGAGCGAUUCUCUUCGGAGAAGAGCGGCGGACGGGUGAGUAACGCGUGGGUAACCUGCCCUGUACACACGGAUAACAUACCGAAAGGUAUGCUAAUACGAGAUAAUAUGCUUUUAUCGCAUGGUAGAAGUAUCAAAGCUCCGGCGGUACAGGAUGGACCCGCGUCUGAUUAGCUAGUUGGUAAGGUAACGGCUUACCAAGGCGACGAUCAGUAGCCGACCUGAGAGGGUGAUCGGCCACAUUGGAACUGAGACACGGUCCAAACUCCUAUGGGAGGCAGCAGUGGGGAAUAUUGCACAAUGGGCGAAAGCCUGAUGCAGCAACGCCGCGUGAGCGAUGAAGGCCUUCGGGUCGUAAAGCUCUGUCCUCAAGGAAGAUAAUGACGGUACUUGAGGAGGAAGCCCCGGCUAACUACGUGCCAGCCGCCGCGGUAAUAC
rnacentral:rRNA from 1 species